UACAGAGGCCUCAAGCGUUGUUCGGAUUCAUUGGGCGUAAAGGGUGUGUAGGUGGCGCCGUUAGUCGGGUGUGAAAUUUCGGAGCUUAACUCCGAAACUGCAUUCGAUACUGCGGUGCUUGAGGACUGGAGAGGAGACUGGAAUUCAUGGUGUAGCAGUGAAAUGCGUAGAGAUCAUGAGGAAGACCAGUGGCGAAGGCGGGUCUCUGGACAGUUCCUGACACUGAGACACGAAGGCCAGGGGAGCAAACGGG
rnacentral:rRNA from 1 species